GGGAUAUCCCAGAAGAGCACCUGGCCAGUAGCUCUUUCUUCCCUGACAAAUACUUCACCUGCUCCAGUAUCUGUCUCAGCUGUGGGUCUGGCUGUGUGAACAGUAUGAACCAUCUGAAAGAGGAAGUGGAUCACGAGGCUAAACACCGCUGUCGCUACACUGCUCAAUACGACAACCGCAUCUACACCUGUAAAGCGUGUUAUGAGGGAGGGAAGGAGGUGAUUGUGAUUCCCAAGACGACAGCCUCCUCUGACUCUCCCUGGUUUGGUCUGGCCACGUACGCCUGGUCUGGGUGAGUCCUGAACACGUAGAACUCCUCAUUAUAAUAUCCUGUUCUGAUGUCACAGUGAGUAUAUACAGUGCCUUGCGAAAGUAUUCGGCCCCCUUGAACUUUGCGACCUUUUGCCACAUUUCAGGCUUCAAACAUAAAGAUAUAAAACUGUAUUUGU